rnacentral:rRNA from 1 species
UCUCCGUUGGUGAACCAGCGGAGGGAUCAUUGCUGGAACGCGCCUCGGCGCACCCAGAAACCCUUUGUGAACUUAUACCUACUGUUGCCUCGGCGCAGGCCGGCUUCUUACUAGAAGCCCCCUGGAAACAGGGAGCAGCCCGCCGGCGGCCAACCAAACUCUUGUUUCUAUAGUGAAUCUCUGAGUAAAAACAUAAAUGAAUCAAAACUUUCAACAACGGAUCUCUUGGUUCUGGCAUCGAUGAAGAACGCAGCGAAAUGCGAUAAGUAAUGUGAAUUGCAGAAUUCAGUGAAUCAUCGAAUCUUUGAACGCACAUUGCGCCCUCUGGUAUUCCGGAGGGCAUGCCUGUUCGAGCGUCAUUUCAACCCUCAAGCCUGGCUUGGUGAUGGGGCACUGCCUGUAAAAGGGCAGGCCCUGAAAUCUAGUGGCGAGCUCGCCAGGACCCCGAGCGUAGUAGUUACAUCUCGCUCUGGAAGGCCCUGGCGGUGCCCUGCCGUUAAACCCCCAACUUCUGAAAAUUUGACCUCGGAUCAGGUAGGAAUACCCGCUGAACUUAA